UGUAGUGUAGUGUAGUGGUUUGAGUGUUGGACUGUAACCCCGAGGACUAGGGUUCAGUUCCCUGCUUAACCA